CCGCGUGAGUGAUGAAGGCCCUAGGGUUGUAAAGCUCUUUCAGCGAGGAGGAUAAUGACGUUACUCGCAGAAGAAGCCCCGGCUAACUUCGUGCCAGCAGCCGCGGUAAUACGAAGGGGGCUAGCGUUGUUCGGAAUUACUGGGCGUAAAGCGCACGUAGGCGGACUGAUUAGUCAGGGGUGAAAUCCCGGGGCUCAACCCCGGAACUGCCUUUGAUACUGUCAGUCUUGAGUCCGAGAGAGGUGAGUGGAACUCCGAGUGUAGAGGUGAAAUUCGUAGAUAUUCGGAGGAACACCAGUGGCGAAGGCGGCUCUCUGGUCUGUUACUGACGC
rnacentral:rRNA from 1 species